UGAAAAUAAAAAAAAAAAAAUUAUGUCCAUCAAGAUAAACAUCAGCCGUUCCCCUUCCUAGGUCAUCUUGCUAAAACAAAUUAUUUCCCUCCCUAUCCGAAAUUCAGAGCGCUAAAACAAAAAAAAUUCAUUCCCUUUUUGAAAUCCAGAGCGCUAAAACAAAUUAUUUGGUUCCCUUUUCUGAAAUUCAGAGCGCUAAAUCUGAAAGUGAAAAUUAUUCUCUCCCACGCUCAUCAAACCUUAACCCUAACGCUUUCUUUCCUUCCCCAUCGAUUCUUCCAAAGGUGUGACGGUUCUUCUCCCAAACCCUAAUCCUAACCCUUUCUUCCCUCCUCCUUUUUCUUAAACCCUUCAACUUGCAGUUAGGAUUUUAGGGUUUAUCAAGGGUUUCACGAAACUCAAGUACUUCACAAAAUUAUGACAUUUAACGAUUUUGGGAAACAUCUCAAUCAAAGGUUUGAAGUAAGUCUCUCACGAAGACAAUGAUUUCCCUGAGAGAUGCAAGGGUCAUAUCACGCUAUGAGGAGGAUUUUUUUCAUUUUCAAGUUGUGUACGAUUCGUCGCUCUGAAAUAACUUUGCUCUGCCUUGUUGGAACUACUAGUAGCUGAGAUAAUGUGUUGACUGGUGGAACUACUAGCAGCUGAGCCAGUGUGCGAGAGCUCAAUUCGUCCUGGUAACAAAAUAAUUUAGGGUUACAUUAUUAUUUUGAGAAAUUUAUGUCAAGUGAUUUGGAGUUGUGGUGCUUAUUGAGUCUACUGACUUUUAGUACAAUUUGUUUUCUCAUCCUUUUUUAGUUCUUUACUGUAUUGUGAAAAUGAUGCAUAUAAUUUGUUUGUGAAUAUGAUAACUUAUUUGAGUACUUUACUGUACUGUGAAAAUGACAUACAUAACUUCAGUGUAUUUGAAAAAAGAAGUAAAGUUGGAAGAUAUAUUAAUUAUAAGAGAUUCACCUUUCCAUCUCUAUUAGCCAUUCAUUUUUAUUUUACAUAUAUUAUUACUUUCAUGUUUGGGAAAGAGUAACCGAAGUUUUGUGAUAUGCUUUUUCAACAUUGACAAGUGUUCUGCUCAUUGUGAUUGUAAAAAAUGCGUCACAUUCUUUUUUCUCUCAUGGUUGAUAUCCCUCUCAUUCUCGUCGUAGUUAUUACAAGUCAUAUGUCGAUUUAGAUCAAUCAUAACUCCCUGAUAUCUGCGUCAAUUCAAGCAUACUUCACUCCAGGCGGUUAAACAAUACCCAACUCUCAGCAGAUUUGAGUCUUUUAAUUAUCAUUCAAAACGCCAACGACAACACUCGUAUCAAUUCCUAAGUGGCCAUGGCGGAAUUGUUUAUAUGAAUGAAAGUAUAUGGUGUACUAUUGGGAGGUUUAGACAACAUUAGAAUAGAAGAUUCUUGAGCUAGAUGGCUUAGAAAUGAAAGUGAGUAUUCUAUGCAAUUGAAUCCUUCAUGGAUAAAAGUUCUUGAAGCAUUAUCAAGAUGAUUUGGUUAAUAAAAUGAUAAAGGCUGCAACCAAGGAACUUUGGAAUGUGAGUGGUGAUCCAGAAUUGUAUGGAAACCUCUUAAGAAAACUCAUUAUUCAUGUUGGUUAGAAUUUUAAUAUUUGAAUAACGGUACCGAUAUCAGUACCUUCCGAAACUGUUUUAUCGCGGCCGUUGAAAAUACACUUGAUGCACAUUUGGAUGUAUUGUUCCGUAGCAAACUUCCAGCGGUCAACUUCAAUCUGCAAAAGUUGGAUGUGAAUUUUGUGCACCGGGAACAUGGUCUUUCUAUUGAAAACAACAUCAAGGGUAUCCAAUUGAAAAGCACCAAAUCUGAAUCUAUUGAGGAUGUUAGAAAGAGUACACGCCUUGAUUUUCAACCGGAGUUUAGUGAAAGAAAUUCAUGUACAACUUUGAUUGUGAACCAUGAUUGACAUUUGGAAUAUAUAUAUAUAUAUAUAUAUAUAUAUAAUGAAUUAUAUUAUUUUGUUAUGUAAUUUAUUGAAAAAUGAAAGGUCAUUUUAAA